rnacentral:rRNA from 1 species
UACGAAGGGGGCUAGCGUUGCUCGGAAUUACUGGGCGUAAAGCGCACGUAGGCGGUCUUUUAAGUCGGGGGUGAAAUCCUGGAGCUCAACUCCAGAACUGCCUUCGAUACUGGAAGACUUGAGUCCGGGAGAGGUGAGUGGAACUGCGAGUGUAGAGGUGAAAUUCGUAGAGAUCGGGAGGAACACCAGUGGCGAAGGCGGCUACCUGGACCAGCACUGACACUGAAGCACGAAAGCGUGGGGAGCAAACAGG